rnacentral:rRNA from 1 species
AUUGAACGCUGGCGGCAGGCCUAACACAUGCAAGUCGAGCGGAGCGGCGGACGGGUGAGGAAUGCCUAGGAAUAUGCCUGGUAGUGGGGGCUAACGUCCGGAAACGGGCGCUAACACCGCAUACUAUCAGAUGAGACUAGGUCGGAUGAGCUAGGUGGGGGUGUAAAGGCCUACCAAGGCGACGAUCCGUAACUGGUCUGAAAGGAUGAUCAGUCACGUGGGAACUGAGACACGGUCCAGACUCCUACGGGAGGCAGCAGUGGGGAAUAUUGGACAAUGGGCGAAAGCCUGAUCCAGCCAUGCCGCGUGUGUGAAGAAGGUCUUCGGAUUGUAAAGCACUUUAAGUUGGGAGGCGUUACCAACAGAAUAAGCACCGGCUAACUUCGUGCCAGCAGCCGCGGUAAUAC